rnacentral:lncRNA from 1 species
GAACAUUUCAUGAGGGUGUGCGCAUGCGUGUUGGGUAAAAAAGGGGCCGUUUUUCGGGGGAAGUACGAAGAAGUACAGACUAAUGCAACAGCUUGAAUUUACGGAAAAAGUUGAAACCCAUUGUUGGUCGAUUCUCUAUAGGCGGGGUGGAACUGGCUGCUGGCAACCGAUUGACCAAUCAGCAUCUUCGCGUCAUCCAAUCACGUCAACUGUUGGCACUUGGUAAGGGCGCCGAGCUUCGAAACCUUUGAGAAAACGCAGUGGUGAACGAGGAAGUUUCGCACAUUAAUUCGUGAUGGACACACUUUGUGAGAACAUGGAAGAGAAGGAGAAAGUGAGCAAGGAGCUGCUCAGAAUGAUGACAGGAGGCAAGGCCAGCAACAUGCUCAAGCAAAACCUAGCCAAGCAGGAACAGGUGAUUGACAAACUACUGGAUACCCAAAAGAGCACAAAACAGCUGAUUAAAGAGCUGAUGACUGUUGAAGAGGAAGUGGCCCAGAAGCUUUUUGACCGGGAGGAGGAGCUGAAGGUAAGCCUCCAAAAACUGCAGAAAAUUGAAGAUCAAUUACUUCAGGCAAAUGAGGAAGACACCCGACUGAAGAUCAGCACCGAAUAUCCUUCCAUGUCUACAUUGAAAUGUUUCCUGGUGGACAUACUGGCCCUUUCUGCACUAGGCCUUAUUCCAGAUUAUAUCUCAGAGUAG